CGGAUAAAGACACAAAGCGCGCCAAACAUUCUAUAGGGCGUAAAAGCACACCUCCUACCCAUCAACCCCAUGGGUGAGAGAACAGUCCCUAAGUGAUCACCACGAUAUCAAUAUCUGAUCAGGACCCACUACCACUCAACACACCGAUCCCAUUAAAUAAAAUAGAUAUCAUUUAAUGAGUUGUUCACUUGUUAUUAGCGUGAUUCCAUUCACUAGGCCUGUGAAAUCUGUGUAUCAUUCGUUUAUCAUUAUGUAACAAAAUCAUGAAAAACGGAAGAAAAAAAAAAAAAACACUAAUUAUUUGAUAUUUGUUUCCAAAAGCAAAAUGAAAAAACGGAAAACCUUCCUCCUUUAACGGGAAACUUCCUGUGUUUUUCCCCUUGGGUGGUUCUCACAGCUGGUUUUCAGAACAAAGACGUGUUAGAACCAAACACAGCGUUAAAGUUCCCCAUGGAUGUGGACUCUCUGCUCCACCCCCCGCUGAUGAUGUCACACACACGCGUCAAAAAACCCAUCAGCCAAUCAGAAGACCAGUUACAUCAACAGAACUAUCCUUUCAUCUGAUUGGCUGCUGCUCAUAGAACAUAACGCUUUGAUAAUUUCGAACCAAAUAUUUCAGUUUAUCUGUAGAAUCACUGGAGCCACACAGGAAACAUGAAGUUUGACCAAGAACAGAUUAUAAAGAGCGUACAGGCCUUAAUCUCUGAGAAAUACAAAGAUGGACCAAUCAUACAGCCCUCAUCGUGCUACACAGCAGUGGUGGUGGAAGUGGUCCUCAGAGAAGCCUGGACUAGUGGAGGUUCUCUGAUGAACCAGGAGUGCUCUGAGGACCAACCUUUGGAGCAUCUGCAUCUCCAACAGAACCACUCUCAUUACUUCAUAGUCAAGGUUCCAGACAGUGAAGCCCCGGAGAUGGUUGAGGUGGAGACAGAGAAUGAGGAGGGGCUCCAGACAAGAAGGGGCUGCAAAAGGAAGGCUGGAGAUCACAACGUUGGAAAGCCAAAGAGAAAGAAAGUGAAGGUUGAGGAGGGGCUUCAGACAAGAAGGGGCUGCAAAAGGAAGGCUGGAGAUCACAACGUCCGAACGCCAAAUAAAAAGAAAGUGAAGGUUGAGGAGGGGCUUCAGACAAGAGAACCUUUUAUCAGAAACAAAGAGUACUUUGAAGCCACUUAUAAGGAGCUGAAGGUACUAGGUUGUGGUGGUUUUGGGAGUGUUUUCAAAGCUGUUCGUCUGUCUGACUCCAAACCUGUAAGUUUAGACACACAGUGACUCCAGGCUUUAAAAAGCAUCAACGCUGUCAUUACAUGCUGGUUUUUAUGUCCUGCAGGUAGCGAUAAAGCACAUUCCACGGGACAAUGUGUCAUAUGUGUCGAUGAAUAACCUGAAUCAAUGUACGUCAGGCGCUUAUGAGGUGCUGCUGAUGAAGAAAGCGGCUGGUGGGUGUGGCCAAAACAGCCUGCUGAACCCCGCCAUCAUUGGCUUUGAGGAGGCCAUUGAACUUGACGAUGAGUUGUUGAUCGUCAUGGAACAUGUUGAGGAUGCCGUGGAUCUCGAGGACUUUGUCACGUCAGCAACUGAACCAAUGCUGGAACAUGACGCCAAGAGCAUCAUUAAACAAGUCCUCGAUGCAGCCGUCAUCAUGCAGCACAACAACGUGUUCCACAGCGAUAUAAAACGUGACAACAUCCUGGUUUCAUUCAAAGAUGAACGACCAUCUGUGAAGAUCAUCGACUUUGGCUGUGCUAAUUUUAUCUAUGGCAUGCCCUAUGACUCCUUCUCAGGAGCAUUAGUAUUUGCUUCACCAGAGGUUUGGUUUCAUCGUGACUAUGAGGCAGAACCAACCACGGUGUGGCAGAUCGGACUCCUUCUGUCUAAUCUAUUCAGGGCUCACUUCUAUCAAACAUAUGACCACGUCAUUAAUUCAUCAUUUACACUAAACAACCUUUCACAUCAAGGAAAUGACUUUAUGAGUCGGUGCAUGAAGGUGUCGCCCAAACUUCGACCAAGCUUGAAGGACCUGCAGCGCCACCCAUGGUUCAAUGAUUUAACACCUCCAUGAGGAACGCUACCCUUCCACACCACUGUCUGUGUGCACCAUGGGGACAAAUGUACAUUGAAAACUAUGAUGCACAGAAAACCUUCAGCC
rnacentral:lncRNA from 1 species